UACGGAGGGUGCGAGCGUUGUCCGGAAUUACUGGGCGUAAAGGGCUCGUAGGCGGCCGACUAAGUCAGACGUGAAAUCCCCCGGCUUAACCGGGGAACUGCGUCUGAUACUGGACGGCUUGAAUUCGGGAGAGGGAUGCGGAAUUCCAGGUGUAGCGGUGAAAUGCGUAGAUAUCGGAAGGAACACCAGUGGCGAAAGCGGCUUCCUGGUCCAGCACCGACGUUCAGGCACGAAAGCGUGGGGAGCAAACAGG
rnacentral:rRNA from 1 species